GGGGCGAUAGUUCAGCUUGGUAGAAUGUCGGUCUCGGGCACCGAUGGUCUUGGGUUCAAAUCCCAAUCGCCCCA
rnacentral:tRNA from 1 species